rnacentral:rRNA from 1 species
GACGAACGCUGGCGGCGUGCCUAACACAUGCAAGUCGAGCGGGAACCUCAGGAGGGGUAACCCUCCUGAGGGGAGAGCGGCGAACGGGUGAGUAACACGUGGGCAACCUGCCCCGGACACCGGGAUAACCCAGGGAAACCUGAGCUAAUACCGGAUACUCCGGCGAGAUCGCAUGGUCGCGCCGGGAAAGCUCCGACGGUCCGGGAUGGGCCCGCGGCCUAUCAGCUUGUUGGUGGGGUAACGGCCCACCAAGGCGACGACGGGUAGCUGGUCUGAGAGGAGGGCCAGCCACACGGGGACUGAGACACGGCCCAGACUCCUACGGGAGGCAGUAGUGGGGGAUCUUGCGCUAAUGCGCGAAAGCGUGACGCAGCGACGCCGCGUGGGGGAUGAAGGCCCUCGGGUUGUAAACCCCUUUCGGCAGGGACGAAGCGAAAGUGACGGUACCUGCAGAAGAAGUCCCGGCUAACUACGUGCCAGCCGCCGCCGUAAUAC